rnacentral:rRNA from 1 species
GAUGAACGCUGGCGGCGUGCCUAAUACAUGCAAGUCGAGCGAACAGACGAGGAGCUUGCUCCUCUGACGUUAGCGGCGGACGGGUGAGUAACACGUGGAUAACCUACCUAUAAGACUGGGAUAACUUCGGGAAACCGGAGCUAAUACCGGAUAAUAUAUUGAACCGCAUGGUUCAAUAGUGAAAGACGGUUUUGCUGUCACUUAUAGAUGGAUCCGCGCCGCAUUAGCUAGUUGGUAAGGUAACGGCUUACCAAGGCGACGAUGCGUAGCCGACCUGAGAGGGUGAUCGGCCACACUGGAACUGAGACACGGUCCAGACUCCUACGGGAGGCAGCAGUAGGGAAUCUUCCGCAAUGGGCGAAAGCCUGACGGAGCAACGCCGCGUGAGUGAUGAGGGUCUUCGGAUCGUAAAACUCUGUUAUUAGGGAAGAACAAAUGUGUAAGUAACUAUGCACGUCUUGACGGUACCUAAUCAGAAAACCACGGCUAACUACGUG